rnacentral:rRNA from 1 species
ACAGCUUAGACUUCGGUCUUUGCAAUUGCUUGGGUGUCGAAAGGCGCCCAAUCUUUAAAACUUUUAUAUUUGUUCUGAAACAAUGAAAAUUUAAAACUUUCAACAACGGAUCUCUUGGUUCUCGUAUCGAUGAAGAACGCAGCAAAGCGCGAUAGGUAAUGCGAAUUGCAGACGUGAGUCAUUGAAUUUUUGAACGCAUAUUGCGCUAUUAGUUUGUCUAAUAGCAUGCUUGUUGGAGUGAUAAUCUUCCUCUCAACCAUUUUUGGUAUGAGGUCUUGCUCCUUUUAGGAGUUAAAAUCAUGGAAGUGCACACGUUAAUUAACUCUGUGCAGUUAUACACUUUUCAUCCUCCAAUCAAGCAAGGUUACCCGCUGAACUUAAGCAUAUCAAUAGCGGAGGAAAG